ACGGGAGGCAGCAGUGGGGAAUAUUGGGCAAUGGGCGAAAGCCUGACCCAGCAACGCCGCGUGAAGGAAGAAGGUUUUCGGAUUGUAAACUUCUUUUAUCAGGGACGAAGAAAGUGACGGUACCUGAUGAAUAAGCCACGGCUAACUACGUGCCAGCAGCCGCGGUAAUACGUAGGUGGCAAGCGUUAUCCGGAUUUACUGGGUGUAAAGGGCGCGUAGGCGGGGAUGCAAGUCAGAUGUGAAAUCUAUGGGCUUAACCCAUAAACUGCAUUUGAAACUGUUGAUCUUGAGUAUCGGAGAGGCAAUCGGAAUUCCUAGUGUAGCGGUGAAAUGCGUAGAUAUUAGGAGGAACACCAGUGGCGAAGGCGGAUUGCUGGACGACAACUGACGGUGAGGCGCGAAAGCGUGGGGAGCAAACAGGAUUAGAUACCCUGGUA
rnacentral:rRNA from 1 species